GACAGAGGGUGCAAACGUUGUUCGGAAUUACUGGGCGUAAAGCGCGUGUAGGCGGCCCUGCAAGUCGGAUGUGAAAUCCCACGGCUCAACCAUGGAAGUGCAUUCGAAACUGCAGAGCUAGAGUCCUGGAGAGGAAGGUGGAAUGCUUGGUGUAGAGGUGAAAUUCGUAGAUAUCAAGCGGAACACCGGUGGCGAAGGCGGCCUUCUGGACAGUGACUGACGCUGAGACGCGAAAGCGUGGGGAAGCAAACAGGG
rnacentral:rRNA from 1 species